AAUCCACAAACCACUACUCAGUGGCUGCCUAGCUGUGUAGGUGUCUAAAGCCCCUAUACACCUAAAUUUAUGAGGUUGAAAUCACCCUGAUGCCUAACAAUCUGCUACUGGGCAUGCUCUCUACUGCCUCAGUCUAGGCAGCCAGACCCCUAUUUCAUACCUCAGCCCCAGCACGCUCCUCAAAUUAAGUGUUCCCUGGCCUGUCCCACAUGUGCGGCCCAGUUUGAUAGAUCAUUGAGCACUGGGUGCUGCUGGCCCAGCAGAAAUUGUCUGCAGUCUAUGGACAGCAGGACUUUAACUCCAGACAGAUGGGACAAUGAGUUUCUUCCUGCAGACUCAGUUGGAUUGGCAGCAGUCAUGGCUCCUCGGGAGAGGAGCUGCCCCUGGAUUUCCUUCUGAGCCUCAGCCUGGAGCAACACUUGGAUGGUCCCCUCCCUGAUACAGACUGGAGCUUGCUGAACUGAGGGAGGGAAAAGGGGUCAGUGUCCCCUCCAUGAAAAAAGGUGGUUAAUAUGGGAGCCCGGACGCUCCCUUGCCACUGGGCACAUGGGGUAGCUGCUGCUACCAGAAUAUCUCCUGCACUCUGGACUUCUGCACUCUGAUCCAGGAUCUCCCAAGACUGGAAGAAUGUUCAGUGUCAGGACUGGUCCCAUCUCUGAACCCAAUAUUCAUGAACAGCUCAUCAGGAAGGAGAGAGCUGAUGGAAGAAAAGAUCUGAGGACUGGAGAUGCAGGUGGAAACUCUGGUCGAGUUUAGAAGGGGGUUC